rnacentral:rRNA from 1 species
UGGUGGAGUGAUUUGUCUGGUUAAUUCCGUUAACGAACGAGACCUCCGCCUGCUAAAUAGUUACGUGAAUUUUUGAUUCACGGUAACUUCUUAGAGGGACUGUGGGUGUUUAGCCCACGGAAGUUGGAGGCAAUAACA